UGGGGCGUAGCCAAGCGGUAAGGCACGGGGUUUUGAUCCCCGCAUGCGCAGGUUCGAAUCCUGCCGCCCCAG
rnacentral:tRNA from 1 species